UGGUGCCAGCAGCCGCGGUAAUUCCAGCUCCAGUAGCGUAUAUUAAAGUUGUUGCGGUUAAAAAGCUCGUAGUUGGAUCUGUGUUUCGAGCCGUCGGUUCGCCGCCCGUCGGCGUUUAACUGACGCGACUUCGAAACGUCCUGCCGGUUGGCGGUCGGUCGCGCGCCUCGUCUCCGGACUUGGCGGACUUGCGACGCGCCAGUGUUUACACCCGCUCCCGAUACUCUUCACCGAGUGUCGAGACGGGCCGGCACGUUUACUUUGAAUCAAACUGAGUGCUCAAGGCAGGCAAAUUUUACCCGCUUGAAAGAUUUUGCAUGGAAUAAUGAAAUAGGACCUCGCUUCUAUUUUGUUGGUUUUCGGAACCCCGAGGUAAUGAUAAAUAGGGACUGACGGGGGCAUUAGUAUUGCGGCGUUAGAGGUGAAAUUCUUGGAUCGUCGCAAGACUACCUAAAGCGAAAGCAUUUGCCAAGGAUGUUUUCAUUAAUCAAGAACGAAAGUUAGAGGUUCGAAGGCGAUCAGAUACCGCCCUAGUUCUAACCAUAAACGAUGCUAGCCAGCGAUCCGCGGUGGUUCGUUUGUAAUGACCCCGCGGGCAGCUUCCGGGAAACCAGAGCUUCUGAGUUCCGGGGGUAGUAUGGUUGCAAAGCUGAAACUUAAAGGAAUUGACGGAAGGGCACC
rnacentral:rRNA from 1 species